rnacentral:rRNA from 1 species
ACUUUAAUUGAAGAGUUUGAUCAUGGCUCAGAUUGAACGCUGGCGGCAGGCCUAACACAUGCAAGUCGAGCGGAAACGGCAGUAUUGAAGCUUCGGUGGAUUUACUGGACGUCGAGCGGCGGACGGGUGAGUAACGGCUGGG